GAAGAACGAAAUUUUGUAAAAUUUAAGGUGAAUUUCAAAAUUGCAAAUUUUGAAUUUUUGUAAUGGGAAGUUGUGGAAUUGGUAAGCAAAAGAUGAAUAGUUUUAAGUUGAAAUGGGUUGAAUCGGUUGAAAAAAGUAGAACUUAGAGCAA